rnacentral:ncRNA from 1 species
UUAUUACUAGAUUUACACAUGCAAGUCUCCGCACCCCUGUGAAUACGCCCUAAAAUCCCACCCGGACUAAGGAGCCGGUAUCAGGCACAACAAUUUGCCCAAGACACCUAGCCUCGCCACUCCCACAAGGGCAUGCAGCAGUGAUUAAAAUUGAAUAUUGACAUCAGUCAGACUCAGUUAAUGUAAACAGAACCGGCAAAUGUGGUGCCAGCCGCCGCGGAUACACCACCAGGCUCAAAUUGAUUUUCACCGGCGUAAAGCGUGAUUAAAGAACUUAUUAAACUAGGGCUUAACUUAAACUAGUAUGUUAUAAUUUAGCUUUAAGGAGAACCAAACACGAAAGUUACCCUAUUUAACCCCACUUGAACCCACGACAUCUAGGACACAAACUGGGAUUAGAUACCCCACUAUGCCUAAGUGUAAACCUUUACUUACAUCACCAUCGCCCGGAUACUACAAGCCACGCUUAAAAACCAAGGGACUUGACGGUAUCUCAUACCCCACUAGAGGAGCCUGUCGCACAAUCGAUAACCCCCGCUAAACCUCACCACUCUUAGCUUAUUCAGCCUGUAUACUUCCGUCGCAGCCUAUCAUAUGAAUGAAUCUUAAUAGGCCAAAUGAUUUACAUCAGUACGUCAGGUCAAAGUGCAGCCAACAGAGCGGAAGCAGAUGGGCUACAUUUUCUAAAUUAGACCAUACGAAAGAUUAAAUGAAACAUAAUCAGAAGGUGGAUUUAGUAGUAAGGGCAAAACAGAGAGCUCCCCUUAAUACAGGCACUGGGAUGUGUACAAACCGCCCGUCACCCUCUUCAAAUCUAAACAAUAGUACUUAACACCAUUAAAACAACAGAAGAGGUAAGUCGUAACAUGGUAAGUGUACCGGAAGGUGCUCUUGG